rnacentral:rRNA from 1 species
CCUACGGGAGGCAGCAGUGGGGAAUAUUGCGCAAUGGGCGAAAGCCUGACGCAGCGACGCCGCGUGAGGGAUGAAGGUCUUCGGAUCGUAAACCUCUGUCAGCAGGGAAGAACGGUCACUGUGCUAAUCAGCCGUGAAUUGACGGUACCUGCAAAGGAAGCACCGGCUAACUCCGUGCCAGCAGCCGCGGUAAUACGGAGGGUGCGAGCGUUAAUCGGAAUUACUGGGCGUAAAGCGCACGUAGGCGGUAUGUCAAGUCAAGGGUGAAAUCCUCGGGCUCAACGUGGGAAGUGCCUUUGAAACUGGCAAACUGGAGUGUGUGAGAGGAUAGUGGAAGUCCAGGUGUAGGAGUGAAAUCCGUAGAUAUCUGGAGGAACAUCAGUGGCGAAGGCGACUAUCUGGCACAUAACUGACGCUGAGGAGCGAAAGCGUGGGUAGCAAACAGGAUUAGAUACCCGUGUAGUC